rnacentral:rRNA from 1 species
UACGUAGGGUGCAAGCGUUAAUCGGAAUUACUGGGCGUAAAGCGUGCGCAGGCGGCUUUGCAAGACAGAUGUGAAAUCCCCGGGCUUAACCUGGGAACUGCAUUUGUGACUGCAUGGCUGGAGUGCGGCAGAGGGGGAUGGAAUUCCGCGUGUAGCAGUGAAAUGCGUAGAUAUGCGGAGGAACACCAGUGGCGAAGGCGGCUUCCUGGCGCGAUUCUGACGCUGAGGUGCGAAAGCGUGGGGAGCGAUCCGG